CACGUAGGGCGCAAGCGUUGUCCGGAAUUAUUGGGCGUAAAGAGCUCGUAGGUGGUUUGUUACGUCUGCUGUGAAAACCUAGGGCUUAACCCUGGGCUUGCAGUGGAUACGGGCAGACUAGAGGUAGGUAGGGGAGAAUGGAAUUCCUGGUGUAGCGGUGAAUGCGCAGAUAUCAGGAGGAACACCGGUGGCGAAGGCGGUUCUCUGGGCCUUACCUGACACUGAGGAGCGAAAGCGUGGGGAGCGAACAGG
rnacentral:rRNA from 1 species